AAAGAAAAGGGGUAUAAUGUUGAAUUCGUUUCUAACGAGAUUUAUUAAGGAAUGUGAUACCAUUUCAAUUAUAUAUGAAUUAAUUUGGUAAGAAAUAUUUAAUAUUCGUUACUCGUAAAAUUGACAUCUCGGUAAAAAAUCUAAAAGUAUUGGAAUUAUCAAACGAAUGGUAAACACACUAGUGGUUAAAGUCUGCUUGCUAAUCCUCUAACCGGUUGAGUGAGAAUAUUUGUUUGGUUCGAUCGAUUUGAUAUAUACGUUUAUAUAGCUCAACACAAUGGAAGCUUUAAUACCAGUAAUAAACAAAUUACAAGAUGUAUUUAACACUGUUGGAGCAGAUGCUAUUCAGCUUCCACAAAUAGUUGUCUUGGGAACUCAGAGUUCUGGAAAGUCAUCUGUAAUAGAAAAUUUAGUAGGCCGUUCAUUCCUUCCUAGGGGAAUAGGUAUAGUAACGCGUCGACCAUUAAUACUUCAACUCGUAUAUACACCGAAGGAAGAUAGAGAACAUCGUAAUGCAGAAAAUGGAACAAUGGAAUUGGAAGAGUGGGGUACAUUCCUACAUACAAAAAAUAAAAUCUUUAGAGAUUUUGAUGAUAUACGUAGUGAAAUUGAAGCAGAGACGGAUCGUAUGGCAGGAGGAAAUAAAGGCAUUUGUCCGGAACCUAUCAAUCUUAAAAUCUUUUCAACUUCCGUUGUUAAUUUGACGCUUAUAGACUUGCCUGGUAUUACAAAAGUACCAGUAGGAGAUCAACCUGAAGACAUUGAAAAUCAAAUUCGUCAACUUGUACUAAAAUACAUAUGUAAUCCUAAUUCCAUCAUUUUAGCAGUUGUUACUGCUAAUACGGAUAUGGCGACAAGCGAAAGUUUGAAACUUAGUAAAGACGUAGAUCCGGAUGGUAGACGUACUCUCGCUGUUGUUACAAAAUUAGAUCUAAUGGAUGCAGGAACAGAUGCGAUAGAUAUAUUGUGCGGUAGAGUAAUUCCUGUUAAGCUAGGAAUUAUUGGAGUAGUUAACCGUUCGCAACAGGACAUAAAUAGUAAUAAAAGUAUUCGAGACGCAUUGAAGGACGAAGCUGUAUUUUUACAACGCAAAUAUCCAACAUUAGCAAAUAGAAAUGGAACACCUUAUUUAGCUAAAACGCUGAAUCGAUUACUAAUGCAUCAUAUACGUGAUUGUUUGCCAGAAUUAAAGACAAGAGUUAAUGUGAUGGUAUCACAAUUUCAAACAUUACUCUCUUCUUAUGGAGAAGAUGUUGGGGAUAAAAGUCAAACUUUAUUGCAAAUUAUCACGAAAUUUGCAAGCAGUUAUUGCUCUACUAUCGAGGGAACUGCUAGAAAUAUUGAAACUACCGAGUUGUGUGGCGGUGCACGGAUAUGUUAUAUAUUUCAUGAAACAUUCGGAAGAACUCUUGACUCCAUCCAUCCACUCGCUGGUCUUACUAAGUUCGAUAUUUUAACUGCCAUACGAAAUGCGACUGGUCCGAGACCAGCACUUUUUGUACCCGAGGUGUCAUUUGAAUUAUUAGUUAAAAGACAAAUAAGGAGGCUGGAAGAACCCUCUUUACGAUGUGUAGAACUUGUACACGAAGAAAUGCAAAGCAUUGUACAGCAUUGUGGUACCGAAGUACAACAAGAAAUGUUACGAUUCCCUAAAUUACAUGAAAGAAUCGUCGACGUUGUUACGCAUUUAUUACGAAGACGUCUCCCUACUACCAAUCAGAUGGUAGAAAAUUUGGUUGCUAUAGAAUUAGCAUAUAUCAAUACUAAACACCCGGAUUUUCAUAAAGAUGCAGCCUUUGUGUCUUCGUUAUUGAAAAAUACAGAUAUAGAUAAUAUUAAACAUAAUAGAAAAUUACCUUCUACUAGCAACAACUCUACAUCUGGUGUUGCAAUACCUACCGAGACUAAUGUAAAAUUGACCAACAGUCAAGAUGAGUUGACAUCUUUUUCUGAGCAGAAUAAAAAGAUGCAUGCGCAACAAAAUCAUUGGUUACUGAGUAAUAUAUUACCACAAGAAAGAACAGAAUCUGUUACUUCUGCUGAAGGUUCUCCGAGUAGAACUUCAGGAAAUAUUUCCCCUCAGCCAAAUCUAAUGCUCGAAGUACAGAAAUCAUCGCCACAACAAAAGCCAGUUAAUUUACUUCCUGAAGUGCCAAUGCAAAUACCACGUAAAUUAAGUGAACGGGAGCAACGAGACUGUGAUGUUAUCGAGCGACUUAUCAAAUCAUACUUUUAUAUCGUACGUAAGUCUAUACAAGACAGUGUACCCAAAGCAGUAAUGCAUUUCCUAGUCAACUAUGUAAAAGAUAAUUUACAAAGUGAACUUGUAACUCAUUUGUAUAAAUCGGAUCAGGCUGAAGCCUUGUUGAAUGAAAGUGAACAUAUUGCUAUUAGACGAAAAGAAGCAAGUGACAUGCUGAAGGCAUUGACUCAAGCAGGUCAUAUUAUCAGUGAAAUUCGUGAAACGCACAUGUGGUAAUAAUUCAAUCAAUAAACCACGAUAGCAUCAGAUUAUAGAUUAAAAUAGAUGGAUAAGAAUGUCGAACUACAUUAGGAUAACAGCUAUGAUUUGUAAGACUGACAGUGGUAUAAAUGGCACAACCUACGUUUCUUGGUUCCCAAACGUGCGUUAUUCCAUUGUGGAACUGUAACAAUGCAAGCAAUUCCUAUCAAGUGCCUCUUUAACCAUGCUGGAGGAGAAGGGCUGAUCGACGAUUAGAACACUUCCUGCGCAAAUAUCUCUGGUUGCUACAAGAUGCCUGCCUCUGUUAUUGUCAAAUCGAAAUGCUACUGCAUCGGAACAACUUUUUAGACCGUUGUUUAACUUUCCAUGCACAGUAGGUGUUGAUACGACGUUUUUUACUAUUGUUAUUUCGGCAGAAGAACAAUGCAUAGCACUGCCCUUUCCACGUGUUUUCUUUUUUCGUCGAAUAGUUAUUUCCAGCUUUCUAGAGCACUCGUGUUUAAGAUGAAAACAUUCCUUUUUAUGUUCAAAGUAAAUAUUUUUACUUUCUGCAUCCUUAUCAUAAAAGCUCAAAGGAAGCGCUAACAUGCAUUCGCAAUCUUUAAGACAUCUUACCCAAGCUCCCAAUUUAUACCAAUGCUUUGCACGCUCUAAAAGAGCAUUCAUAAAUAUUAAACUACAUGCACUGGCCGCAAACAGUGCUUCGGUAAGAAUAUUACAUGCUUUACUUUCCUCAUCCAUUUUAUUGUUCCCUUCUUUCAUUAUAUCAAGUGAUUUCUGAUAAAGCAAUGCCGCUUGCUGAUCAUUCUUACCCUUAUAUGACUUAGUUAUCUUUGUAUUUAAUACACAUGGUAAUUCGAUUAUAACUCGAAUCAUUCCUUGUCUAUCUCCCUUUUGUGACAAUUCUUUAAAAGUGCUUAUAAAUGGCUCCAUUAUUACAGUAUCGUAUGCUUGCCGACAAAAAUCGAUAAAUAUACUGCCACUAUAAUAAAUUUAUUGAAUACUUAAUAAAUACAAUGUGUGUAUUAUAUUACGUAAUCAAAAAAUAGAUUCGAUUGUAUGUGAAAUUUAUCUUUGUUUUGUAUAUUUAAUAUGUUAUAUAUAUAUCCAUGUUGUAUGGUAUUUAAUAUAAAAUGUUAUCAAAUAGUAUAUAUAUAUAUAUAUAUGUGUGUGUGCGCGCGCGCGCGUGUGUGUGUGGUAUAGAUAUAAUUAUAUAAAGUGUUAAUUUAUAGCGAGAUUACUUAAUUUAUAUGCUUAACUUUAAUCUUGUUUAUAAAUUUUUUCUUUCUUGUCGAACUUAAAAAAAAUAGAUAAACUAUCGAUUUAAUGUAAUAUGAUCGUUUUUCUUUUUUAUCAAGAUUAAUAAUCAUAUAUACAUAUACAUAUAUAUAUAUAUAUGUAUAUAUAUAUAUAAAAUAUAUAUAAUUUGUAUGAAAAUGUAAAUACAUGAUCCAUGAUAAAAUAACAUUAAGCUUUACACAUUAUUAAUUGAUAUAAUUUAUAUCUACUUGGAAUAUAAUCGAUAUGAUUGAUCGUAAAGAUAGAGAUCGCGCUUUUGAAAAAAAAAAGAAAAUUAUUUUUCACUUACUGUUUCGUCGUAGUCAUUUUUAGAUAUUGUUUGUUAAUGAUCUCUCGAUUUGUAUCACGACGAUUGUCGUACUUGUAUAUUCUCUCGAACGCGGUUUACUAAUGUGACGAUUUCUAAAAUUAGGUACCGAAGUUGCUGUUGAAAUAUCUGCUUCGUAUAAAGCGUCUAGCGAAUGCCAAACAUAACGUACAUCAAAGAACUUUUUAUAAUUGUAUUUCCUUCUAUUUUUUUCUCUUAAUGUAUAUACAUUAAAAAUCAUUAUUGAAACGAGAUAAUAAGGGCUAAAAUAAUGAAAUAAGAAAUACUUGAAAAUUCGUUAUAAAAAAGAAAAUAUUUAGAUCCUCUGUUACGUACGCGAUUCUAAUCGCGUAUAUCGGAGAAUAAUCAAUUACUUACAAGUUCUAUAAAUGUACAUGGAACAAAAGAGGCAUUAUAUACAGCGUUUCACUAUCUACAUUUCGUGAAUGCACACAAGUAUGAACAUAAGUGAAAGAUUUUAGAAGAUAAGUAUUGAUAAGUGAUAUUGAUCGAUCAUGAUAUUUUUUUUCUUCUAUUUUUUUUUUUUUUUCUUUACAACAAAACAGAAAUAUAUGAAUAAAUCAGAAAAUUUGUUAACUGUUUUUAAAUCAUCUUACUACUGGAGACAAUUAUUUUCGAUAAUAUAGCUUUUUGAUAUAAUUAUGACCUUUCAAAUGGAAAGAAUUCUCGUCGAUGUCUAUUUCCCGCGUUCGAUAAUUUAAAAGUAUCAGCGCGGGAAAAUGCUAUAGAUAUUACACAAAAAAUUUUAAAAAGAAAUUUUAAUAUCAGUUUCUAUUCAAUGUCGACGCUACAGACUAUUUUCGAAGUAUUACCGACGGUUCGCCAAACAAGUAUGAUAAAGAAGAUUACGAAGUGAUGGUAAAGAAGAUCACGAAAAGAUGGUAAAGAAGAUUUAAGUAUGAAUUUAGGUUACAUUCGUAAAAUCUACAGUAUGUAUUCUGUCUGCGUUCUAAAUAUACGAUACAUAAAAUCGAUUUAUUUAGCCUAUUUCCUGAAAGUAUAACAAAUCCAUGAAGUAGUCGAUUAUAACGAUAUUACUUAAUAUCAAAACGUUUCGUAACGAUCUAAAUUUAGCAUCGUAGAUUUGUAUAUAAAGUUUGGAAUUUAUUAAAAAAUGAAAAGAUAUUAUUUUCCCGCCCGCCUACGCGCUUAAAAAUUAUCUUUUUGAUAUCGUACAAUACAAAUGACGUGUGUGGUUAUACACGUGCGCAGAAGUUAAUUCAUGGAUUAAAUACAAUAGCGUACAAAAGUCAUAAGUAGAUUAUUGUUCAUCAUUGGUAUCGAGUGUGUUAUGUGGAGCAUAUUAAGAAAGCAUUAUGG